AUUGAACGCUGGCGGCAGGCCUAACACAUGCAAGUCGAGCGAGCGGCGGACGGGUGAGUAAUGUCUGGGAAACUGCCUGAUGGAGGGGGAUAACUACUGGAAACGGUAGCUAAUACCGCAUACCAUCGGAUGUGCCCAGAUGGGAUUAGCUAGUAGGUGGGGUAACGGUUCACCUAGGCGACGAUCCUUAGCUGGUCUGAGAGGAUGACCAGCCACAGUGCAACCAGUACACGGCCCAGACUCCUACGGCAGGAAGCAGGGGGGAAUAUUGCACAAUGGGCGCAAGCCUGAUGCAGCCAUGCCGAGUGAAUGAAGAAGGCGGUGGGGUUGUAAAGUACUUGCAACGGGGAGGCGUUACCCGCAGAAAUAGCACCGGAUAAUUCCGUGCAGGCAGCCGCGGUAAUUC
rnacentral:rRNA from 1 species